rnacentral:tRNA from 1 species
GGGAGGAUGGUCUAGCUUGGUCUAAGACAUAGCCUUGGGGUGGCUAUAACCCGUGUUCAAAUCACGGUCCUCCCA